rnacentral:tRNA from 1 species
GGAGGGAUGCCCGAGUGGCCAAAGGGAGCAGACUGUAAAUCUGCCGGCUUAUGCCUUCGGUGGUUCGAAUCCACCUUCCUCCA